CCUUCCCUGAGUGAAAACCAAGCUGGUCCAAGGUGUCCUGCAGGCUGUAAAUGCAGUUUAAUCAGAGUGCCAUUUUUUUGUUCAAAUGAUUUUAAUUAUUGGAAUGCACAAUUUUUUUAAUAUGCAAAUAAAAUGUUUUAAAACCU